GGUGAGAUGUCCGAGUGGUUGAAGGAGCACGCCUGGAAAGCGUGUAUAGGCGAAUAACCUAUCGAGGGUUCGAAUCCCUCUCUCACCGCCA
rnacentral:tRNA from 1 species